rnacentral:rRNA from 1 species
UACGUAGGGGGCAAGCGUUGUCCGGAUUUAUUGGGCGUAAAGGGCGCGUAGGCGGCGGGGUCAGUCGGGUGUGAAAUCUUGGGGCUUAACCCCGAAACGGCACUCGAAACUGCCCGGCUGGAGGGCCGGAGGGGAGAUCGGAAUUCACGGUGUAGCAGUGAAAUGCGUAGAGAUCGUGAGGAAGACCCGUGGCGAAGGCGGAUCUCUGGACGGCUAACUGACGCUGAGGCGCGAAGGCCAGGGGAGCAAACGGG